AUGUCUCCUAAACCCAAACUGGUGAGAAGGAAUGGCAUUUUCAAAUUCCCUGCAUUCAAACAUUCGUUUCAUUAGCAGCGUUUCAAAAAGCUUUGAGAAGCCAGCCAAGAGGCUAAUUGGUCGCACAUUUCCAUUGUUUGGGAAAAUGGCCGUGUCUAAGUAUCGAGUUAUAAAUGUAUGUCAAGUAAA